CUAUCACAUUCAAUUAUAGGAUUUUGUAACAAUCAUUCAUAUUGCCAUAACAACGCAACUUGUGUCACAAAAAACGAAACUUCUGGCUGCUUAUGUCGUCCAGGGUUUGCAGGGAAAACAUGUAGUUGGGAAAUAAACCGAAAUUUAACAGACUUAAUUGAAAAUGGGGGUCAAUUUACUCAACAGAACGUCAUAGAGACUACUCAUUGUUACAUAAAAGAGCCAUGUUUGAUACCAAUCAGUAUUACAAGAAAUGUCCAUAUUAUGUAGGUAUUUCUUCUACAGAACUUACGUUUUACCUUAAUGCCUGUUCUCUUUCUAUACAUUUACAAACCAUCUUAUUUUAAGACCCAAGAUAAAGGUCGGUGU